UGAGACAAUGACUUGAAAAUUGAAAUGAUAAUUUUAGGGCACUGAAAUAAAUUAGUUAUGAAAUGUAACAAUCUAUGUUACAAAGUGUUUAUAAUUGCAGUGAAUUCAUUUGUAUUACAAAUUAUAUGCUGUAAUUUUAUCAUGGGUGAUACAGGUAUCUGUACAUGUACUAAAAUUUUUAAUAUCUAAUAAUUUUUAUAUUUAUAUUUUUUAUGAAGAUAAUUUCAAUACCAUUGCGUAUGAAACACAUGGCAGUAUUUUAAAAAACAAACUAUAGACUUGUUGGUGCACUGUAGAAAUUACCAUCAUUUAGUGCUAAUUUUGUACUAGUAAUACCCAGCAGUUAAGGUGGCAACAGCGACUUUCUAGUGCAAACUAUUGACAAACAAGAAAAAACAACAAACUUGAGGCUCAAAAUUUUAUAACACAUUCGGAAAUAAAAAUGCCAUCAAGAAACAAUGUUUAUAAAGGCCUGAUAUGGCAAUAAUAAUGUUUCCAAAAUGAAGUCAAUUACUAUUAAGCCUGGUGCACCCUAGUUUAUUAUUUUACUCUGUCUAACACCUGACGAUUUUACUCGUCAAGUGGAGAGUUCUACACUGUAGGCAAUAACUCAAUGGGUUAAUUAAUCAAGCAAUCUGCCAAUGCAUCCUCUUAACCCUUUAAGUGCCAAUGCACCCUAGUUUAUUAUUUUACUUUGUAACGCCAGACAAUUUUACUCGUUAAGUAGAGAGUGCUGCCACUCAAUGGGUUAACCUCUUUAAAUUCAAAAAGGAGUUAUGUGACACUAGUUUUUUCUUGAAAAUGUUGCUUCCUUCAGAUGUAAUUAAUGGGGUAUUCUGUAGAUCAGGUACCCCCAAAAGAUCGUGCUUUAUAAUUACAUAUACAAACUUUUUAAAAACCUUUAUUAGACCUUUCCCUGAUUGGAAACUUCCCAUUCACUGUCAAAAAGGUGUAGUGCGAAAACUUGAAGACCUGCAAUUUUCAGUAAUGAAAGGAUAUAUGUAGGGUCAAAAGGGAAAAAUAUACUUUAAAAAUGCCACAUAAUUAAUUAAUACACAGCAAAGCAUGAUCAUUGGAAUGAUUUAAUUGCAAUUACAUAUAUAAUACAGAUAAACAUUAAAAAUUGUUAAUGUGGUUUCAUCUGAGGUAUUAAUAUUAUCCUAGACUUGCUCCAAGUCUUGCUUACAUAUAUUAACUUUAUUUUGAAAGGACAUAGGGUGUGAUGAGAUCUAGCUACAUAAAUAUCAUCCUUACAAAAUGUGAAUAAGUUGUCCCCAUUUACUAAAUCUGCACUGUUUAAUGUCAUAGGAUUUUGCUUGAAACCCAUGCAGUUACAAUUACUAUGUUGGACAUCGGCAGGUACAAAACGCAGGUUGCAGGUUGCAGGUUGGAAUUUUGCAGGUUGGGAAUUUUGCAGGUUGGAAUUUUGCAGGUUGGGAAUUUUGCAGGUUGGAGUUUUGCAGGUUGCCAGGAACUUUGCAGGUUGGAAUUUUGCAGGUUGACAGGAAUUUUGCAGGUUGAUGAUGCAAACUGAAAAUUACACUACUAUAAAGUAUUCUAGUAUAAUUUUAUUGUGUACUUAUUGCAGUCUGACUCCUUGUUGCCGCUUUUGAUAUCAGCCUAUCCUGCUACCAUGUUUCUAGCCUCUGCUCAUCACCCUUGUGAAAACAUUCAAAAUGACCAGAUUGGCUUGGAUCUUCAGGGGGACGAAUGUUUCGAUUGUUGCGAGGAGCCUACAUGACGUGGUGGCAGUUCAGAAAAUGCCUGAAUGAGGUGUCUCUCCUCUGCACCCACUAAUGAGACCACUCAAGCCCCCAAUUACCGUAUCAUUACUCGAGAGUUAGUUAACUUUUAACAACAUUCUAGUACAAACGCCGCCACAUCAUGUAGGCACGUCGCAACAAUCAAAACAUUUGUCCAGGGGCGUAGGAAGCUUCUAAAAGUUGGGAGGACCAGGCUUUGAGGGGCACUUUCCGAAUAAAAAAGGGCAUCUAAAAUUUUUUUCCCGGAAAUGUUGGCGACGGGGAGGGGGGGGGGGUAGGUCUCAAAACAUUUUUCCGGACAUACCAAAAAAAAUUUUUCCAGAUAUAUCCAAUUUUCCUAAAUAUGAAAAAAAAUUUCCGGAAAUACAAAAAAAAUUUUCGGACAUUCCGGAAAAUAACAUAAAUUCAAGUUUCGAAAAGUGCGCUUUGGGCAAAAAAAGGCAAUCCUUAAAACAUUUUUAACGCAAAAAAAAGGGCACUUUGCUCCCGGAAAAAGGGCACUUGGCAAAACUUGGGGGGGGGGCCCGGUCGGUUCCUACGUUCCUGCAUUCGUCUCCCUGUAGGUCCAAGCCAAUCUGGUCAUUUUGAAUGUUUUCACGAGGGUGAUGGCCACUAGCCUUAGAGCAGAGGCGCCGACAAGGAGUCAGACUGCAAUAAAUGCACAACUAAAUUAUACUAGAAUAGUAAAAAAGUGGUGUCAUUUUAAGUUUGCAUUAUCAACCUGCAAAGUUCCUGGCAACCAGCAAAAUUCCAACCUGUAAAAUCCCCAACCUGCAAAAUUCCAACCUGCAAAAUUCGCAACCUGCAAAAUUCCAACCUGCAACCUGCAACCUGCGUUUUGUACUUGCCGUGUUGGACAUCCAUUUUCACAGUGGAAAAAUGCAUAAAUUCCAGCUCCCAUUUUACCCCUUUUCAGCUCACAGCUAGGUGGUUACCAUCAUACAAUUAACUAUAUAUUAGUAACAAAUUAAAUUUAAAUGUAGCAAGUUCGCAGUCACAGACAAAUGAAGACUACCCAGUGAAGUUUGACAAUAAAGAAUUAAAAGAAAAGCUUUCACCACAGCAGUUUGAUGUUACCCAAAAUAGAGGAACAGAAAG